UUUGUGUUUUAUAGAUCUGUUGUUUGUGUGGAGAAUUUAGGUUGUUGAGGACUUUGAUUGUCUUGCAAGUUUAAUUAUUUGACGUAUAUUCUGUAAUUAUUAGUUGUCGUUUCUAUUGUCCAUUUUUAAUAUGUAAUUAACUUAAAAAGUCAAAGGUCUUGUAAGAAUUCAAACUCACCAAUAUCUGCAAAUUUCUUAUGGUUUACGUUUCUUCUCAUUUUCUAUGUUCAAAUAAAAACCAUCAAAGCUUCAAGAUUAAGAAGCUGACAUCAUAUUUCUUUCACAGUGAAUCUUCAGGGAAGCCAUAAACGCUGCUGGUGUGCACACUGAAUUUGAGGUCUGGAAUUGGAAAAACGUAAGAGACAGAAAUUGAAUUAAUAAAUUGACAGAGAAAAGUCAAAAAGAAACAGUGUGAUUAGGAACAACGACCCAGAAUGGACAACGUUAACAGCAGCAACGACAAUAACAACAACUACUGUGGGUUCAUGUCGUGCGACAAACUGGACCGAAUGGCCAACUGGGUCGGUGCCAACGUGGCAUCUGCUUUCUUCGCUUCGUUGGAACGCUGUUCUUGCAUCAACCUCAGCAUCGACAACGAUGAUGACAUAAACAACAACAACAACAACCACAACGAUGAUCGUCCUCUUUUCCUCUCUCAACCCAACUCCAAUCUUCCCUCUUAGUUCUUAAUUUUAUGUUUUCUCUGCUGGCUUCACUUCUUUAUAUUUGUUCAUGUUUUAAUAGACAUAUAUGUAACAAAGCUCUGUUAUUUCCAUGUUUAUGCGGAUCCUGAAUUACCUUUCAUUUUUUUAAUAUAUGGAGUUUGUUUACUUUAUUUCAGA